CUUAUUUUCCCUAAAGAAAUCUUCCGUUUAUUACCCUCCAAUUAUCUGUUUUUAGGUGAACUCCGAGAUAAAUGAGGUCUGGAUUACAAUGAGCUAUUGUUCUUGCAUCCCGAGGUAGACUCCUCUUUUGUUUUUCUGACCCUAACAAUUUGCACUACAGGCAACCUUAAUUUUUUUCUCUGAUGACCACAAACUUAAUGAUAUUCCUCUGUGGAAUGAGGAUUGACAUGUGGCCUGUUCUCUUCAGAAAAUGGCAAGUCUAUACAGAUGUUGGAAGUAUCUCCCAUAACCAAUGUACAUUGAAUUAGACAUUGCGCAUUGAAGAGACUGGGAUACAGUCCCUGAUUCAUGGAAGGCAAUCUCUUGAGUGAUUUGUCUGCUGGUAGCAGAAUAAUGCACUCUUUGCUUCCAGGCCCAUAAAGUAGAAUUGGAAAAUAGGAUGGUACCAAAAGGGUGGAGGAACAUAAUAUUUGGUUGUGGAAGAUCUUAUUAGAAUGAGAGCUCACUUUUUUACAGUCAUUUUACUGCUUAUUGAAAAUGUUCAAGUGUUGUCUAGAGGUGCUACAUGUGAAUGCCAGGCAGAGUUAGGGUUUGAGGGGCAGAAAGAGAAGGCUGGAUUGCAUUGUAAGUGGGGGUAAAAAAGAGAUAUAAGAAUAAGCUAUAAGUGAUAAAGGACAACAAACAGGAAUAACAAAUGGGGUCUCCAGACAUUUACAAAUGUAAUAUUCCUUACGAGGGAAACUAAUUUAAGUAAGGAUUGAGAAAAGCUGCCAAGAUUUGCUCAGAGCACACUUGGAAUAGGACCUAGGGGCUUCAAGCUAUCAGAAGUGUGAACAAGCAGGCAGUUUGAUGAAUUGUAAUGAUUUUUAUUCCUUUUUCUCUUAUGGUGGUAAGAACUUUAACACCCAUAGUAGACUCUGCAUAUGGCUAGGGAAGAAGCCUGGUGCAGGUAAUAGGGAAACAUUUCUGGCAAGUGGUUGAGCAGAGCGGGGCUGUGGAGACCAGAGUCUUAUUGGUUGGAAAUAGAGGCUGGCACCCUAAAAAAUUGGUUUGUCCUCUAAUCCCAUUUUAUCAUACAUUCACAACAUAAAUCUAUAGGGAUUCAAGUAGCCAUGUGUUUGUUGCAAGUUAAUGACAAGCUUCAUUGCAUACUACUAAUUUUUUACACAGUCCAAAGAUUUCUUCCUUAAUAAUUCCAUGAAGGCUUCUCUCCCACUUGAAGUAACUGCAGAUUGGUCUUGAUGCCUUGAUUAGAGAAUCAUGUGAUAAUUACAUCAAACAGCAUCCAGUACUGAUUCAGAUAAUCCAAGUAUCUAUCAUUAACAAUCACACUUUAUUUAUUUAUUUAUUUAUUUAUUUAUUUAUUUAUUUAUUUAUUUAUUUAUUUAUUUUCAAUCACACAUUUUUACAGGCAAAAUUAACUUUCACUCAUAUUUGGGAGUUGUCAUGAAAUCAGAA
rnacentral:lncRNA from 1 species